rnacentral:rRNA from 1 species
CAGUAGCCGCGGGAAUACGGAGGGAGCUAGCGUUAUUCGGAAUUACUGGGCGUAAAGCGCACGUAGGCGGCUUUGUAAGUUAGAGGUGAAAGCCUGGAGCUCAACUCCAGAAUUGCCUUUAAGACUGCAUCGCUUGAAUCCAGGAGAGGUGAGUGGAAUUCCGAGUGUAGAGGUGAAAUUCGUAGAUAUUCGGAAGAACACCAGUGGCGAAGGCGGCUCACUGGACUGGUAUUGACGCUGAGGUGCGAAAGCGUGGGGAGCAAACAGGAUUAGAUACCCGUGUAGUCCCUGUCUCUUAUAC